UACGUAGGGUGCAAGCGUUAAUCGGAAUUACUGGGCGUAAAGCGUGCGCAGGCGGUUUCGUAAGUCUGAUGUGAAAUCCCCGGGCUCAACCUGGGAAUUGCAUUGGAGACUGCGAGGCUAGAAUCUGGCAGAGGGGGGUAGAAUUCCACGUGUAGCAGUGAAAUGCGUAGAGAUGUGGAGGAACACCGAUGGCGAAGGCAGCCCCCUGGGUCAAGAUUGACGCUCAUGCACGAAAGCGUGGGGAGCAAACAGG
rnacentral:rRNA from 1 species